rnacentral:rRNA from 1 species
GCCAGACUCCUACGGGAGGCAGCAGUGGGGGAUAUUGCACAAUGGGGGGAACCCUGAUGCAGCGACGCCGCGUGAACGAAGAAAUAUUUCGGUAUGUAAAGUUCUAUCAGCAGGGAAGAAAAUGACAGUACCUGACCAAGAAGCCCCGGCUAACUACGUGCCAGCAGCCGCGGUAAUACGUAGGGGGCGAGCGUUAUCCGGAUUCACUGGGCGUAAAGGGAGCGUAGACGGCGACGCAAGUCUGGAGUGAAAGCCCGGGGCCCAACCCCGGGACUGCUCUGGAAACUGCGUCGCUGGAGUACGGGAGGGGCAGGCGGAAUUCCUGGUGUAGCGGUGAAAUGCGUAGAUAUCAGGAGGAACACCGGCGGCGAAGGCGGCCUGCUGGACCGUGACUGACGUUGAGGCUCGAGAGCGUGGGGAGCAAACAGGAUUAGAUACCCUUGUACCC